rnacentral:lncRNA from 1 species
UCUCGCUCUCUCUCUCUCUGUCUCUCUCUCUCUCUCUCUCUCUCUCUCUCUCUCUCUCUCUCUCUCUCUCUCUCUCUCUCAUAGGCUACCGGUCUAUUUACUUUCGAGCAUAGUUGGCUAUUGACUGAGCGAUGUACAAAGGGUACAUCUAAUAUCUAAUAUUUGUUUUGUAACAGGAAUAAAACAGUCAUGUCAGAAAAGGAGAGACCUGCCUUGCAUGUCAGUAAGCAUUAUACUGUUAGUCUACACCUGUUAUUUAUGAAGCAUGUGACGAAUAACAUUUGAUUUGAUUUGAUUUGCAAUGUGAUUAUGAUUUCGGCCUACGUUAUGAAAGUCAACUAAAUAUAUAUCAGGUGACGUGCUGCUAUGUGAUCUUCUUACCAACGUUAAAUGCAUCUGUUUUAUCAUUAGUUCUACUUUUUACUGUUUUUUAUUAGCCUACCAUAAGUAUUAUUCCUGUGUAUCAAGGAACUACAAUAUCUGCUUGCAGUACAGUUGAUCAACCACUAGGAGGUGUGUGUCCGCAUGGUCUUAGAUUAGCAUGGAGGUACGCGCACUUUCCUGCCAAGUUUAAAAUGUGUAAAUACUAACCUUUUAGAGAAAACUGUCAGACUGAAGGUUUGUGCUCACGCACCUUUGAUAAAUGAGGUCCUUCCUGGUGUGAAUAAGAUGGUUGUACUGUGUGGAGACGCCCUUCUAAACAUGGAGAGUCUAUUAGGACCAGUCUGUUAGUGCUGAAACUAUGGACCAGUCUAUUAGUGCUGAAACUAUGGACCAGUCUAUUAGUGCUGAAACUAUGGACCAGUCUGUUAGUGCUGAAACUAUGGACCAGUCUAUUAGUGCUGAAACUAUGGACCAGUCUAUUAGUGCUGAAACUAUGGACCAGUCGGUUAGUGCUGAAACUAUGGACCAGUCUGUUAGUGCUGAAACUAUGGACCAGUCUGUUAGUGCUGAAACUAUGGACCAGUCUGUUAGUGCUGAAACUAUAGACCAGUCUAUUAUUGCUGAAACAAUGGACCAGUCUGUUAGUGCUGAAACUAUGGACCAGUCUGUUAGUGCUGAAACUAUGGACCAGUCUGUUAGUGCUGAAACUAUGGACCAGUCUGUUAUUGCUGAAACUAUGGACCAGUCUGUUAUUGCUGAAACUAUGAACCAGUCUGUUAGUGCUGAAACGAUAGACCAGUCUAUUAGUGCUGAAACUAUGGACCAGUCUGUUAGUGCUGUAACUAUGGACCAGUCUGUUAGUGCUGAAAGUAUGGACCAGUCUGUUAUUGCUGAAACUAUGGACCAGUCUAUUAGUGCUGAAACUAUGAACCAGUCUGUUAGUGCUGAAACUAUGGACCAGUCUGUUAGUGCUGAAACUAUGGACCAGUCUGUUAUUGCUGAAACUAUGGACCAGUCUGUUAUUGCUGAAACUAUGGACCAGUCUGUUAGUGCUGAAACUAUGGACCAGUCUAUUAGUGCUGAAACUAUGGACCAGUCUGUUAGUGCUGAAACUAUGGACCAGUCUAUUAGUGCUGAAAUUAUGGACCAGCUGUACCACUAGGCUGUAGACAGAGAGCUGUACCACUAGGCUGUAGACAGAGAGCUGUACCACUAGGCUGUAGACAGAGAGUUGUACCACUAGGCUGUACACAGAGAGCUGUACCACUAGGCUGUAGACAGAGAGUUGUACCACUAGGCUGUAGACAGAGAGCUGUACCACUAGGCUGUAGACAGAGAGCUGUACCACUAGGCUGUAGACAGAGAGCUGUACCACUAGGCUGUAGACAGAGAGUUGUACCACUAGGCUGUAGACAGAGAGUUGUACCACUCCCGCUGUGUAACUGAAGGUUUUUGGGGCUCACUCCCGCUGUGUAACUGAAGGUUUUUGGGGUCACCUCCGCUCUGUAACUGAAGGUCUUGGGGGUCACCUCCGCUGUGUAGCUGAAGAUUUUGGGGGUCACCUCCGCUGUGUAGCUGAAGGUUUUAUGGUCACCUCCGCUGUGUAGCUGAAGGUUUUAGGGUCACCUCCGCUGUGUAACUGAAGGUUUUGGGGGUCACCCCCGCUGUGUAACUGAAGGUUUUGGGCGUCACCCCCGCUGUGUAACUGAAGGUUUUGGGGUCACCUCUGCUGUGUAACUGAAUGUUUUAGGGUCACCUCCGCUGUGUAACUGAAGGUUUUAGGGUCACAUCCGCUGUGUAACUGAAGGUUUUGGUGUCACCUCCGCUGUGUAACUGAAGGUUUUAGGGUCACCUCCGCUGUGUAGCUGAAGGAUUUAGGGUCACCUCCGCUGUGUAACUGAAAUUUUCGGGGUCAAAUCCGCUGUGUAGCUGAAGGUUUUGGGGUCACCCCGCUGUGUAGCAGAAGGUUUUGGGUCUCACCCCAGCUGUGUAACUGAAGGUUUUGGGGUCACCUCCGCUGUGUAGCUGAAGGUUUUGGGUCUCACCCCAGCUGUGUAACUGAAGGUUUUGGGGUCACCUCCGCUGUGUAGCUGAAGGUUUUUGGGGCUCACUCCCGCUGUGUAACUGAAGGUUUUUGGGGUCACCUCCGCUCUGUAACUGAAGGUCUUGGGGGUCACCUCCGCUGUGUAGCUGAAGAUUUUGGGGGUCACCUCCGCUGUGUAGCUGAAGGUUUUAGGGUCACCUCCGCUGUGUAACUGAAGGUUUUGGGGGUCACCCCCGCUGUGUAACUGAAGGUUUUGGGGUCACCUCCGCUGUGUAGCUGAAGGUUUUGGGUCUCACCCCAGCUGUGUAACUGAAGGUUUUGGGUCUCACCCCAGCUGUGUAACUGAAGGUUUUGGGUCUCACCCCAGCUGUGUAACUGAUGGUUUUGGGUCUCACCCCAGCUGUGUAACUGAAGGUUUUGGGUCUCACCCCAGCUGUGUAACUGAAGGUUUUGGGUCUCACCCCAGCUGUGUAACUGAAGGUUUUGGGUCUCACCCCGCUGUGUAACUCUGGUGAGAGCUCUCUGCUAGUGAGAGAGUUGACACGACCUCUAUCUCUCCCCACUGCCAUCCUCUGUCUCCAUCUGUUCAAUAAAUUCAGAAAAUAUAUAUUUAUAAAAAGAAGUAGUCUGUCUCCACCGACUGCAUAGAAAGGAGGGAAGAAGGAGGUAGAGUGAAUGAGGGGAGGAGGUAGAUUGAACGAGGGAUGGAGAUAGAGUGAACGAGGGGUGAAGGAGGUAGAGUGAACGAGGGGUGAAGGAGGUAGAGUGAACGAGGGAAGAAGGAGGUAGAGUGAACGAGGGGAGAAGGAGGUAGAGUGAACGAGGGGUGAAGGAGGUAGAGUGAAUGAGGGGAGGAGGUAGAGUGAACGAGGGAUGGAGGUAGAGUGAACGAGGGGAGGAGGUAGCGUGAACGAGGGGUGAAGGAGGUAGAGUGAACGAGGGUAGAAGGAGGUAGAGUGAACGAGGGAAGAAGGAGGUAGAGUGAACGAGGGGAGAAGGAGGUAGAGUGAACGAGGGGAGGAGGUAGAGUGAGCGAGGGAUGGAGGUAGAGUGAACGACGGGAGAAGGAGGUAGAGUGAACGAGGGGUGAAGGAGGUAGAGUGAACGAGGGAAGAAGGAGGUAGAGUGAACGAGGGAAGAAGGAGGUAGAGUGAACGAGGGGAGAAGGAGGUAGAGUGAACGAGGGAAGAAGGAGGUAGAGUGAACGAGGGAAGAAGGAGGUAGAGUGAUGCUUGUGGAACCUCCCACUCUCUCUCCUCCACUGUGUGUUUCUGCAGUUCUACGGUCUCUAUGUCCUCCCUUUCAUUUAGCCAGUGGCUUCUCUCUCUCUCUCUCUCUCUCUCUCUCUCUCUCUCUCUCUCUCUCUCUCUCUCAAUCUCCCUCCGUCUUUCUCUCUCUAUCCAACCCUCCCUCCC